rnacentral:rRNA from 1 species
GAUGAACGCUGGCGGCGUGCCUAAUACAUGCAAGUCGAGCGAACAGACGAGGAGCUUGCUCCUCUGACGUUAGCGGCGGACGGGUGAGUAACACGUGGAUAACCUACCUAUAAGACUGGGAUAACUUCGGGAAACCGGAGCUAAUACCGGAUAAUAUAUUGAACCGCAUGGUUCAAUAGUGAAAGACGGUUUUGCUGUCACUUAUAGAUGGAUCCGCGCCGCAUUAGCUAGUUGGUAAGGUAACGGCUUACCAAGGCAACGAUGCGUAGCCGACCUGAGAGGGUGAUCGGCCACACUGGAACUGAGACACGGUCCAGACUCCUACGGGAGGCAGCAGUAGGGUAUCUUCCGCAAUGGGCGGAAGCCUGACGGAGCAACGCCGCGUGAGUGAUGAAGGUCUUCGGAUCGUAAAACUCUGUUAUUAGGGAAGAACAAAUGUGUAAGUAACUAUGCACGUCUUGACGGUACCUAAUCAGAAAGCCACGGCUAACUACGUG